AGCAAGGGGUGGCGGGGGGGAGCCAAGCUCCCUAGCUCGGGUAACGCCUGUACCCAAACUUCCCAGUGAUUCAAGUGGGGGCAGGUCCGCUAUCAGAAGGGUAGAGAGGAUUAGGCUCAAAAUGGGACCGACUUUGUUCUUACUGAAAUAAUAACAGAGGUCCUGGUUUCAGUGUGCUAGUACUCUCCAGGAGAGCAAAGCUAACUGCUAGUGGUGUAAUGCGACCAUUGCUACCUUAAUUCCAGAGCAACAACGUCUCCAACCACAAGGGGCAUCGGUAUCUGCUGCCUGUCAAAACUGGCGCUUUUUUCAUCCUGAGACUAUCAACUCCAUCUGUCACAGAAAUUGGGACAAAAUCUAUUUUCCAGAAACUCGGGGAUCUUGGAAUUCCAUGUGGUGUGGAAUCAUGUCUGUCUCAAAGUGCGUAGACUGUGGAAUGGUGGUGUGGUGUGGCUGGGAGUCAGUAUGAUUGAUGGGUUGAGAAGCAUUCUUAAGGGCUUGCCCCAUUGUUAUCAGUUUUACAAGCUGCUUGUGUUUUUCCUUCAGUAUAGUUUUUCCUAUUCUUGUGUAAAAGCUGUGUUUUUAAAUCUGCAAAAGCUGUGUUUAGAAACGCUGCCUCCAUCCAGCUAGUUUAGAGCUGUUUCUUUUAAUUCUUGUUGAAUAGUGGUAUUAAAAAUGCCAGAUGCCAUUCAGGCAGGUUGUAGUGAAUGUGCAUUGCUAUCUUCACUGGGAUCGCUCAUGCAUUACUUUGUUGCCCUAUUACCGGGUCACACCGCUGUUUUUGGUGGAAAUCGGCUAGUUUGGGGUGUCUCGAUUGGAGAUGACAUUGCAGGUGCUGUUCAGCAUACUGCUGCACUGGCUGGUUCCUAGGGAAAAUGUCGCACGGUGCCAUUGGAGGGAAGAGGGCCUGGAUGCCAGGAUGUUCCAGAUAUAAGAGAGUCUGAGAGAGGGGGUUGCAAUGGAGCAGGAUCAUGGCUUGGGGCCUCCUGAGCUUCCUGAGCGCGGGAGAGAGCAGUCCCAGUGGGGCUGCCUUCUACAGACAGCUGGAUGGUGAUCUCUGCCCCCUCCCAGCUCCUGCCUUCCUUCGCAAAAUCCGUCCAGCUCGGCUGUGCUUCAUUUCUGGAGCAGAAAGCAGGCUGUACUCUGUGGGGGAAGGCAGCAGCUGAACUUCGGGCCUCCCAGGAGGGGGAGUAGAGGAGCCUUCACUGCCGGCCUUGCAUCCUUGUGUGUCUGGGAAGAGCCUGCUGUGGUGCUGCCGGAGCAGGAGGAGGACCAGUGCCUGGUCCCACUAGGGCUGGUGGACUUCCCUGGCUGCACUGUUGAACGGCAGGGCAUGGCAUGAAACAUCACAUUAUUCAGAGGCAGAAAUUUUCACAUACAGCUUUUUGUUAAAUAAGUGGAUAUUUUAUGCAGUGAUAAUAAUAAUGGAAAUGUAGACUUUGAAGUUUGGAAUUAUCUUUGGUAUCAUACAAAUGACAAAAUUUUUUACAGAAAAUAGGUGGAUUCUUCAAUUACCACACCUUUUAGCCGUCUAGAAUAUGAUCAUCUACAUUCAGGAUUAUGUAUUGCCAAUAAAUUGACUUCUUAAAAUGGUUUAAACA